CAAGGAAUUUUCCGCAAUGGGCGAAAGCCUGACGGAGCAACGCCGCGUGCAGGACGACGGCCUUCGGGUUGUAAACUGCUUUUAUCGGGGACGAAACGGACGGUACCCGAAGAAUAAGCCCCGGCUAACUCCGUGCCAGCAGCCGCGGUAAUACGGAGGGGGCAAGCGUUGUCCGGACUUACUGGGCGUAAAGCGCACGUAGGCGGCCGCGUGCGUCGGCACUGAAAGCGCCUGGCUUAACCAGGCGAGGUGUGUCGAUACGACGUGGCUAGAGGCAGUGAGAGGUUGGCAGAAUUCCGGGUGUAGUGGUGAAAUGCGUAGAUAUCCGGAGGAAUAUCGGUGGCGAAAGCGGCCAACUGGCACUGUCCUGACGCUGAGGUGCGAAAGCGUGGGGAGCGAACC
rnacentral:rRNA from 1 species